rnacentral:rRNA from 1 species
GUUGGUGGAUGAGUGGCGAACGGGUGAGUAACACGUGAGUAACCUGCCCCUGAUUUCGGGAUAAGCCUGGGAAACUGGGUCUAAUACCGGAUACGACCAACCCUUGCAUGAGGGGUGGUGGAAAGUUUUUCGAUCGGGGAUGGGCUCGCGGCCUAUCAGCUUGUUGGUGGGGUAAUGGCCUACCAAGGCGACGACGGGUAGCCGGCCUGAGAGGGCGACCGGCCACACUGGGACUGAGACACGGCCCAGACUCCUACGGGAGGCAGCAGUGGGGAAUAUUGCACAAUGGGGGAAACCCUGAUGCAGCGACGCAGCGUGCGGGAUGACGGCCUUCGGGUUGUAAACCGCUUUCAGCAGGGAAGAAGCGAGAGUGACGGUACCUGCAGAAGAAGUACCGGCUAACUACGUGCCAGCAGCCGCGGUAAUACGUAGGGUACGAGCGUUGUCCGGAAUUAUUGGGCGUAAAGAGCUCGUAGGUGGUUGGUCACGUCUGCUGUGGAAACGCAACGCUUAACGUUGCGCGUGCAGUGGGUACGGGCUGACUAGAGUGCAG